UGCAUUGGAGAGCGAUACAAAAGUGCUGGCUUUUGAACUGCACUUGCUUGCCACAAAGCAUCAGGUGCCCUCAAGAGUACUGGGAAGAAUGCCGACAAACUAAAAAAAUGGAGAGACUUUAACAAAUUAAGGAGCACUAGGAGCUGCAGUCCCUCCUCUUCACCGACAUCUAAGUAGAAAAUCU